GGUGGCUGCAUGGCGUGUCGUCAGCUCGUGUCGUGAGAUGUUGGGUUAAGGUCCCGCAACGAGCGCAACCCCUCGCAUUCAGUUGCCAUCGGGUAAUGCCGGGCACUCUGGAAGGACUGCCAUCGACAAGAUGGAGGAAGGUGGGGGAUGACGUCAAGUCAUCGUGGCCCUUAUGUCCAGGGCGACACACGUGCUACAAUGGCCGGCACAACGGGAAGCGAGUUCGCGAGGACGAGCGGAUCCCUCAAAGCCGGUCGCAGUUCGGAUUGAAGUCUGCAACUCGACUUCAUGAAGCUGGAAUCGCUAGUAAUCGUGGAUCAGCCAAGCCGCGGUGAAUACGUUCCCGGGCCUU
rnacentral:rRNA from 1 species